CCUCUGAACCCUGACCCCUGUUUUCACUAGAGACCUAGUUUGACCUCUGAACCCUAACCCCUGUUUUCAGUAGAUACGUAGUUUGACCUCUGAACCCUAACCCCUGUUUUCACUAAAAACCUAGUUUGACCCUAAAACUCCAGAUGGUACUGAGGCCAGAAACUAAAAACAGACAUAUAUGGCCCAUGAACAACAGACAUACUGUAUAUGGCCCAUGAACAACAGACAUACUGUAUAUGGCCCAUGAACAACAGACAUACUGUAUAUGGCCCAUGAACAACAGACAUACUGUAUAUGGCCCAUGAACAACAGACAUACUGUAUAUGGCCCAUGAACAACAGACAUACUGUAUAUGGCCCAUGAACAACAGACAUACUGUAUAUGGCCCAUGAACAACAGACUUUGGUGUUUAUAUGGACAAAAGACAGUACCAUAAUAGAGUGCCAAUGCCAAGUACAGGAGAGUGCCAAAAGAGGGACUUGAGCCAAUAACCUGGUUCAGCCAAAAGGACUUGAACCAAUAACCUGGUCCAGCCAAAAGGACUUGAACCAAUAAGCUGGUUCAGCCAAAAGGACUUGAACCAAUAAGCUGGUUCAGCCAAAAGGACUUGAACCAAUAACCUGGUUCAGCCAAAAGGACUUGAACCAAUAACCUGGUCCAGCCAAAAGGACUUGAACCAAUAACCUGUUCAGCCAAAAGGACUUGAACCAAUAACAAGGUCCAGCCAAAAGAGGGAGUUGAACUAAUAACCAGCUAAUGAACAGUGACUCCCUCUCAAUUCCUGAUUACUACUGAACUCUGAUGAAGAUGAUGGUAAUGAUGAUGAUGAUGAUGGUAAUGGUGAUAAUGAUGAUGAUGAUGAUGGUGAUGAUGAUGGUAAUGAUGAUGAUGGUGAUGGUAAUGAUGAUGGUGAUGAUGGUAAUGAUGAUGAUGAUGAUGGUGAUGAUGAUGGUAAUGAUGAUGACGAUGAUGAUGAUGAUGAUGGUGAUGAUGAUGAUGAUGAUGAUGAUGAUGCUGAUGGUAAUGAUGAUGGUGAUGAUGAUGAUGAUGGUAAUGAUGAUGGUGAUGGUAAUGAUGAUGGUGAUGAUGAUGGUAAUGAUGAUGUAAUGAUGAUGGUGAUGAUGAUGGUAAUGAUGAUGAUGAUGGUAAUGAUGAUGAUUAUGAUGAUGAUGAUGGUGAUGAUGGUGAUGAUGGUGAUGGUGAUGAUGAUAUAUGAUGAUGAUGAUGGUAAUGAUGAUGAUGAUGAUGAUGGUGAUGACGAUGAUGGUAAUGAUGAUGGUAAUGAUGAAGGUGAUGUAUGAUGAUGAUAUGUUUACUGUGCUCUACAAGCAGGACUAGUAGGGACAUGCAUGCUUAUCCCUGCACCAUAUUUCUGUUCUGACCCAGUUGUUAUUGCCACUGAAGACUCCAGUCACUCAGUCAGUCUCACAGGGGGCCAUGAUGUAUAGGUCAAUAUUACACAUUGAUUUAUUAUAUUGAUACUGAUCACUUUUAUAUUAUCUACCAAGCUGUGUUAGCACUGGUGAUGCUACUACCGCUUCAAUGCACUGGAUUUAAUGUAUAUACAUCACUAAGAGGACAGAGAGAGGACAGAGAGAGGACAGAGAGGAGAGGAGAGGAGAGACAGAGAGGAGAGAGAGGAGAGAGAGAGAGGACAGAGAGAGAGGAGAGAGAGAGAGAGGAGAGGAGAGAGGAGAGACAGAGAGGAGAGAGAGAGAGAGACAGAGAGGAGAGAGAAGAGACAGAGAGGAGAGAGAGUGGAGAGAGGAGGGAGAGAGAGGAGAGAGAGGAGAGAGAGAGACAGACAGAGAGAGGAAGAGAGAGAGAGAGAGAGAGAGAGAGAGAGAGAGAGAGUGGAGAGAGGAGAGACAGAGAGGACAGAGAGGAGAGAGAGGAGAGGAGAGACAGAGAGGAGAGAGAGAGAGAGAGAGAGAGAGAGGUCAGAGAGAGGAGAGAGAGAGAGAGAGGAGAGAGAGAGAGAGUGGAGAGAGGAGAGACAGAGAGGACAGAGAGGAGAGAGAGGAGAGGAGAGACAGAGAGGAGAGAGGACAGAGAGAGGACAGAGAGAGAGAGAGAGAGAGAGACAGAGAGGAGAGACAGAGAUGAGAGAGAGAGAGAGAGGACAGAGAGAGGAGAGAGAGAGGAGAGAGAGAGGAGAGAGAGAGAGAGAGAGUGGAGAGAGGAGAGACAGAGAGAGAAGAGACAGAGAGGAGAGAGAGUGGAGAGAGGAGAGAGAGAGAGGAGAGAGAGGAGAGACAGAGAGGAGAGAGAGAGAGAGAGAGGAGAGAGGACAGAGAGAGGAGAGAGAGAGAGACAGACAGACAGACAGAGACAGUGAGAGAUAAUGUGUGUGUGUACAUAAUCAGUCAGGGCUAGGUUACUGUGUGUGUGUGUGUGUGUGUGUGUGUGUGUGUGUGUGUGUGUGUGUGUGUGUGUGUGUGUGUGUGUGUGUGUGUGUGUGUGUGUGUGUGUGUGUGUGUGUGUGUGUGUGUGUGUGUGUGGGCGUGCGUGCGUGUGUGUGUGUGUGUAUAUAUAGGGUUAGAUUGAGGAUGUGGUUCUUGUUGCACACAGAGGACUUCAGCACAAGCAGCAGCCUCUACACAGACAUAGAUAUACACUACACUAGAUCAACACGGCUGUUUUCUAUCAUUCUUAUCUCUAUUAAAACCAACACAAUAAUGCAAGGUUUUACAUGUGUUCUACUCUACUACAUACUAACGUUACCUUACCUGGACAGAACUCUCUCUGGGGACAUGAAGUCACUCUCUUCUCUGCCACCUGCUGGACACUCAACACCACCGCUGCCAGACUAGAAGACAGGAAGUGUUUGGGCAGUGUCUGAAAUCUGUCUUCCAGUACUACUUACUAAAACGACAUACUGUGUACUAAUUAUACUACAUAGUAUUUAGACUGUAGUGUUUAGUAUAAAUAUAUGCAGUGAGCAACACAACAACAUCCUACCCUCAUCCACACUGAGAAGGGAUCAUCUGAGGAGCGAUUCUACCAGAUAAAUACCAGUCUCUUCCUCAAUAGAGUUCAGUGAAUUCUACUAGGUGAUAAAGCCCCAAAUGUGUAUAACAUUUAAAACACUACAAUUUUCAAACGUUUUUAUUUCCACACCCAUCUGCGUAAUAUUGACAGCGCCGGUGUGGGUAUUCGGACACGGCCCCCCCCCCCCCCCAGACUGUCAUGUCCUUGUUUUCAGAGUUCUGUGUUCAGAUAAUCAGUACCUCACCUUUACAGGUGUGUGAUCUUGCUUUCUUUCUUCUAUCGAAACUGUUCCUGUGUGUUUAUAUAUAUAUAUAACAAGGUUAUAAAUUAAGAGUCUCAAAGUGUUUAGGAACUGGACUGUGUGUUUAUAUAUAUAUAUAACAAGGUUAUAAAUUAAGAGUCUCAAAGUGUUCAGGAACUGGACUGUGUGUUUAUAUAUAUAUAUAACAAGGUUAUAAAUUAAGAGUCUCAAAGUGUUCAGGAACUGGACUGUGUGUUUAUAUAUAUAUAACAUCUGACUGGUUUAUUUUUAGGGUUUUUAAAUAAAGAUCGCCGCUUCUUCAUCCUGUUAACACUA
rnacentral:lncRNA from 1 species